UCCGGUUUGUCACCGGCAGUCUCAUUAGAGUGCUCAACUUAAUGGAGCAACUAAUGAUAAGGGUUGCGCUCGUUGCGGGACUUAACCCAACAUCUCACGACACGAGCUGACGACAGCCAUGCACCACCUGCACACAGGCCACAAGGGAAUGCCUAUCUCUAGACACGUCCUGUGCAUGUCAAACCCAGGUAAGGUUCUUCGCGUUGCAUCGAAUUAAUCCACAUGCUCCGCCGCUUGUGCGGGCCCCCGUCAAUUUCUUUGAGUUUUAGCCUUGCGGCCGUACUCCCCAGGCGGGGUACUUAACGCGUUAGCUAAGGCACCGCAGGGGUCGAUACCCGCGACACCGAGCACCCAUCGUUUACAGCGUGGACUAC
rnacentral:misc_RNA from 1 species